rnacentral:hammerhead_ribozyme from 1 species
AUCCAUUUGACGAGUCCCAAAUAGGACGAAAGGCUCAUCGAACUGGAU